GGAAUAUUGGACAAUGGGCGCAAGCCUGAUCCAGCCAUGCCGCGUGUGUGAAGAAGGCCUUUGGGUUGUAAAGCACUUUCAGCGGGGAGGAAGGGUGUUGUGUUAAUAGCACAGCAUUUUGACGUUACCCGCAGAAGAAGCACCGGCUAACUCCGUUCCAGCCGCCGCGGUAAUACGGAGGGGGCAAGCGUGAAUCGGAACUACUGGGCGUAAAGGGAACGUAGGGGGUAUGUUAAGUUGGAUGUGAAAGCCCCGGGCUCAACCUGGGAAUUGCAUUCAAAACUGGCAUGCUAGAGUAUGUGAGAGGGGGGUAGAAUUCCAAGUGUAGCGGUGAAAUGCGUAGAGAUUUGGAGGAAUACCAGUGGCGAAGGCGGCCCCCUGGCACAAUACUGACGCUCAGGUGCGAAAGCGUGGGGAGCAAAC
rnacentral:rRNA from 1 species